UACGGAGGGUGCGAGCGUUGUCCGGAAUCAUUGGGCGUAAAGGGCGCGUAGGUGGCCCGGUCAGUUCGUGGUGAAAGCGCGGGGCUCAACUCCGCGUCGGCCAUGAAUACUGCUGGGCUGGAGUGCGGAAGGGGCAAUCGGAAUUCUUGGUGUAGCGGUGAAAUGCGUAGAUAUCAAGAGGAACACCUGAGGUGAAGACGGGUUGCUGGGCCGACACUGACGCUGAGUGCGCGAAAGCCAGGGGGGCAAACGGG
rnacentral:rRNA from 1 species